GGGCACAUGGUGUAGUUGGUUUAUCACGCCCGCUUAGCAUUCGUGCUGUCUCUUUAUUCCUGCGGGAGGUGUUGGGUUCAAUUCCCAAUGUGUCCA